rnacentral:tRNA from 1 species
GUUUUUUUAGCUUAAAUAUUUAAAGCGCUAAUUUGAAGAGUUAGAGAUAAUUUAAUAAUUAAAAAACA